rnacentral:rRNA from 1 species
AACGAACGCUGGCGGCAUGCCUAACACAUGCAAGUCGAACGAGACCUUCGGGUCUAGUGGCGCACGGGUGCGUAACGCGUGGGAACCUGCCCUUAGGUUCGGAAUAACUCCCCGAAGGGGGUGCUAAUACCGGUUAAUGUCUUCGGACCAAAGAUUUAUCGCCUUUGGAUGGGCCCGCGUUGGAUUAGCUAGUUGGUAGGGUAAAAGCCUACCAAGGCGACGAUCCAUAGCUGGUCUGAGAGGAUGAUCAGCCACACUGGGACUGAGACACGGCCCAGACUCCUACGGGAGGCAGCAGUGGGGAAUAUUAGACACUGGGCGAAAGCCUGAUCCAGCAAUGCCGCGUGAGUGAUGCAGGCCUUAGGGUUGUAAAGCUCUUUUACCCGGGAUGAUAAUGACAGUACCGGGAGAAUAAGCUCCGGCUAACUCCGUG